CUGAGAAUUAUCGAAAAAGCAUUGAAGAACGUUCAGUUAGAAGUUCAGCAGCUGAAGGAUGACGAAAACUGGAACGUCUCUGUGAUCGGAGAUGACAAUUUUGGCGACAAAGGUGACCGGGCGUGUGUACAGUGUGUAAAAAUUUCGGAUUUCGGUAAACCCAAUUUCGGAGUGUGAAUAAAACAAGUGAAGUGGAAGCAGCAGGAGAUUGGAGAAAUCAGAGGAACAUCCUUCAUCCUUCGCAGGCAGCAUCAACGGUGCAAGCUCAUUUUCGGGAUCAAUUUGUGGGUAAUUAGCUUGCUGGAGUUGGCUCGACGCGUCGAAUGGAAAAUAUAUACUAAGGCCGAUUUUGGUAAGAAUACACGUUUCUGAUCAACGUUAAUUUUAAUGUAAGG
rnacentral:lncRNA from 1 species